CCCGCCCGCCCGCGGGCCGAGCGACCCGGCGCUGCUGCGAUCUCUCCCCGUCCGCGCCGUCUAUCGCUCGCGCGGCCGGGCCGGCGGCCGCCGCGAUGGGCAGCGAGGACGUGCUCGUCGAGAUCCACCCCUGCGAGCUCCGCUUCCUCUUUGAGUUUAAGAAGCAGAGUUCAUGUUGUGUCCAUCUUGUGAACAAGUCAGAUCAAUAUGUUGCAUUCAAGGUUAAAACAACUUAUCCAAAAAGAUAUUGUGUUCGACCAAAUGUAGGAGUUAUUCUUCCUUUGGCAUCGUGUGAUUUUACAGUUACUAUGCAAGCGGUAAAGAAUGCUCCACCAGAUCUGCAAAUAAAAGACAAGUUCCUUGUGCAGACCACAGUUGUUCCAUUUGGUACAGCUGAUGAAGACAUCGUUCCUGCUUUUUUCUCCAAAGAAACCGACCGAUAUAUUGAGGAGAAGAAGUUGAAAGUUGUCCUUGUCAGCAUGGCACAGCCUCAAGUAGAGCAACCCACAAAUGGACUUUCCCAUGCCAAGGAAACAGUUGGGAUUCCUGUGACAGAGGAAAUACUGGAUAAUGUGAUGAAGCGCCUGUUGUUGUGAAUGAAGUUUUUCAUCCCCUGAAUGUAAGAUCUUCCCCUUUGAAAGCGAAACUUCCGUCCCUGUAAAAGAAUACCCUACUGUUCUGCAAGAUUUUCUAGUCCCAUCAAAUCAAUCUUCAUUUACUUUGUAGGAAUCUGCUCCCAAUUUGCAAGAAACAUCUGCUACCUCUGUAGAAUCUCAGUUUGCUUCAACAGAAACAAGUGCGGACUUGAAAUCGCCACCAUUGGAAUAUACUCCUGCUCCAAGUGAAGUUCCAUCACUAAGUGAUAUAGAAUCUACCAAUACUGAUAAUAUUCAUAUAUCUCAUGUAACCGAAGAUGUCCACACUUUACAAAUGAAACUUAACAAUCUUGGAGUUAAACUUGAAGAGGCAGAAACUUUGAUCCUAAAUUUGAUGGAAGAGACCAGAGGUACCAUCCAAGAGCGGGAUAAAUUACGGAAAGAGAUGGUAUUCUUGAAAAGGGCGGGGGCUUCACAGGGUCAGUCCAGCACUGGUUUUCCCCUGCUUUUCGUCGUCUAUAUGGCAGUUGUUGGCAUGUCGCUCGGUUACCUUCUGCACCUAUGAACGGAGUAUCAGAGAUGAAGCGCCUGGGCCAGGCAUCGCUGAUCUUUCUUGGAGCGGCCGAGUUUCAGAGGUUGCUAGGGUACUUAAUCAGAGAGAAACUACCGUCGCGUCAUGACCGUCAUAUUAGUUGGUGGAUUUCCAUAUACACCUCAGGGUGACAGUUACUGGACCGUAUAGAAAUAGAACAGCGUUAUUUUACUCUGUAUAGAACUCAUAGUGUUCUCCGAUCCGUUCUGAAAUAGCACAUGAACGCUGCUCAAGAGUCAAGAUGAUGGUAUAGACACCCGUUGGUUCUUGUUUUCUUGUAAAAAAUUUUGAAAGAGAAAGAAAACUACCAGAAGUUUGUGGAACCAGUCAAACAGUCAUUUAAGAUUUGGUGA